ACGUAAGAUGGCGUCACGGUAAUUGUACUGAGUGGAGUCCAAUUUGGUCUGUAAUCAUACGAGGGAUCAACAAAUCGGACGACCUCGAAGCGGGUGUCUGACUUGUUAAUUACAAGUAUGAUUACAGACAGAAUUGUACGACGCGAAGUCCCAUUACCAAUUUAUCAAACCUAUGAAAAAAUUUGAGAAGCAAAAAAGUCAUCGGUUAUACGUUUUCAUACCAAAAAAAAAGUUAUCUUAGCGAAAUGCACGACAAGUAGGUCUGCGCGCUCCUGAUGCGCACUGUCCAAUUACACAGGCAUGACGCGUACGCUGUUAGGAACCCAGCACCAGACACUGUCCACUAACAGGGUGGGCAGUUUCAGAGAAUGCUAUCAAUUCGUCGCAUACGCGCCCAUAGUCGCAACUCAUGGCGGUAGUGGACCCAGAGGGUCCGGAAACUCUGGUUCCCCCUCCCCGUCAGACCUCUUGUCUGACGCCAAAAUUAGUUGUAACGACAAGAUCGCAUGUUACUUAUUAAUAUGAGGUAAUUGAAAUUAACUUGUUUGAAAAUUACUUAGCUUACUUAGAUCAUUGUGUAAUAACAAAAAUUUGUGUUUUUCGAAUCAAAGUGGGGACUAGACUCUCCUGCAUCAAGGACUCUCUUCGAGUGCCGUUAUGCGGUUGUAGCAGCCUUAUAAAAGCAUGCAAUUUGCUUCAAGAGCUGUGCGGUAUGUAAUGUUGAAAGUUCUCCGCCUUUCGGCUUUGUCUGUCAAGGUCGUGGGCAGGAAAUAAAACCAUUUAAAGACUGA